rnacentral:rRNA from 1 species
CCUACGGGGUGCAGCAGUGGGGAAUAUUGCGCAAUGGGCGAAAGCCUGACGCAGCGACGCCGCGUGAGGGAUGAAGGUCUUCGGAUCGUAAACCUCUGUCAGCAGGGAAGAACGGUCACUGUGCUAAUCAGCAGUGAAUUGACGGUACCUGCAAAGGAAGCACCGGCUAACUCCGUGCCAGCAGCCGCGGUAAUACGGAGGGUGCGAGCGUUAAUCGGAAUUACUGGGCGUAAAGCGCUCGUAGGCGGUAUGUCAAGUCAAGGGGGAAAUCCCCGCGCUCAACGUGGGAACUGCCUUUGAAACUGGCAAACUGGAGUGUGUGAGAGGAUAGUGGAAUUCCAGGUGUAGGAGGGAAAUCCGUAGAUAACUGGAGGAACAUCAGUGGCGAAGGCGACUAUCUGGCACAUAACUGACGCUGAGGAGCGAAAGCGUGGGUAGCAAACAGGAUUAGAUACCCUGUAGUC